CCUUACCUAGGCUUGAAACGCAGACUAAUCCUGAUGAAAGUCGGAGUGCCGCAAGGCGAGUCUGUACAGGUGCUGCAUGGCUGUCGUCAGCUCGUGCCGUGAGGUGUUGGGUUAAGUCCCGCAACGAGCGCAACCCUCGUUCUUAGUUGCCAUCAGGUAAUGCUGAGCACUCUAAGAAGACUGCCUACGCAAGUAGUGAGGAAGGUGGGGAUGACGUCAAGUCCGCAUGGCCCUUACGCCUAGGGCCACACACGUGCUACAAUGGCCAUUACAAAGGGUUGCGAUACCGCGAGGUGGAGCCAAUCCCUAAAAAAUGGUCUCAGUUCGGAUUGGAGUCUGAAACUCGACUCCAUGAAGCUGGAAUUGCUAGUAAUCGCGCAUCAGCACGGCGCGGUGAAUACGUUCCCGGGUCUUGUACACACCG
rnacentral:rRNA from 1 species